GAUGAACGCUGGCGGCGUGCCUAAUACAUGCAAGUCGAGCGAACUGACGAGGAGCUUGCUCCUUUGACGUUAGCGGCGGACGGGUGAGUAACACGUGGGUAACCUGCCUAUAAGACUGGAAUAACUCCGGGAAACCGGGGCUAAUGCCGGAUAACAUAUCGAACCGCAUGGUUCGAUAGUGAAAGACGGUCUUGCUGUCACUUAUAGAUGGACCCGCGCCGUAUUAGCUAGUUGGUGAGGUAACGGCUCACCAAGGCAACGAUACGUAGCCGACCUGAGAGGGUGAUCGGCCACACUGGAACUGAGACACGGUCCAGACUCCUACGGGAGGCAGCAGUAGGGAAUCUUCCGCAAUGGGCAAAGCCUGACGGAGCAACGCCGCGUGAGUGAUGAAGGUCUUC
rnacentral:rRNA from 1 species